CCUACGGGAGGCAGCAGUGAGGAAUAUUGGUCAAUGGACGAGAGUCUGAACCAGCCAAGUAGCGUGAAGGAUGACUGCCCUAUGGGUUGUAAACUUCUUUUAUAUGGGAAUAAAACGUUCCACGUGUGGGAUUUUGUAUGUACCAUAUGAAUAAGGAUCGGCUAACUCCGUGCCAGCAGCCGCGGUAAUACGGAGGAUCCGAGCGUUAUCCGGCUUUAUUGGGUUUAAAGGGAGCGUAGGUGGAUUGUUAAGUCAGUUGUGAAAGUUUGCGGCUCAACCGUAAAAUUGCAGUUGAAACUGGCAGUCUGGAGUACAGUAGAGGUGGGCGGAAUUCGUGGUGUAGCGGUGAAAUGCUUAGAUAUCACGAAGAACUCCGAUUGCGAAGGCAGCUCACUGGACUGCAACUGACACUGAGGCUCGAAAGUGUGGGUAUCAAACAGGAUUAGAUACCCCGGUAGUC
rnacentral:rRNA from 1 species